rnacentral:rRNA from 1 species
GCACAAGCGGUGGAGCAUGUGGUUUAAUUCGACGCAACGCGAAGAACCUUACCUGGGCUCGAAAUGUAGUGGACCGGGAUAGAAAUAUCCCUUCCCAGCAAUGGGCUGCUAUAUAGGUGCUGCAUGGCUGUCGUCAGCUCGUGUCGUGAGAUGUUGGGUUAAGUCCCGCAACGAGCGCAACCCUUAUUACCAGUUGCUACCAUUUAGUUGAGCACUCUGGUGAGACCGCCUCGGAUAACGGGGAGGAAGGCGGGGAUGACGUCAAGUCCUCAUGGCCUUUAUGUCCAGGGCUACACACGUGCUACAAUGGCCGGUACAAACCGUCGCAAACCCGUGAGGGGGAGCUAAUCGGAAAAAGCCGGCCUCAGUUCGGAUCGUAGUCUGCAACUCGACUACGUGAAGCUGGAAUCGCUAGUAAUCGCGGAUCAGAAUGCCGCGGUGAAUACGUUCCCGGGC